rnacentral:rRNA from 1 species
UACGAAGGGGGCUAGCGUUGCUCGGAAUCACUGGGCGUAAAGCGCACGUAGGCGGACUCUUAAGUCAGGGGUGAAAUCCUGGAGCUCAACUCCAGAACUGCCUUUGAUACUGGGAGUCUUGAGUUCGGGAGAGGUGAGUGGAACUGCGAGUGUAGAGGUGAAAUUCGUAGAUAUUCGCAAGAACACCAGUCGCGAAGGCGGCUCACUGGCCCGAUACUGACGCUGAGGUGCGAAAGCGUGGGGAGCAAACAGG